rnacentral:piRNA from 1 species
UACCUCUAACCUGAGCUACGUUGGUC